rnacentral:rRNA from 1 species
CAACGGAGAGUUUGAUCCUGGCUCAGGAUGAACGCUGGCGGCGUGCUUAACACAUGCAAGUCGAACGAGCCU